GACGAACGCUGGCGGCGUGCUUAACACAUGCAAGUCGAACGGAAAGGUCCUGCUUUUGUUGGGUGCUCGAGUGGCGAACGGGUGAGUAACACGUGAGUAACCUGCCCUAGACUGUGGGAUAACGUCAGGAAACUGGGGCUAAUACCGGAUAGGAGCGCCUGCUGCAUGGUGGGGGUUGGAAAGUUUCGGAGGUUGGGGAUGGACUCGCGGCUUAUCAGCCUGUUGGUGGGGUAGUGGCUUACCAAGGCUUUGACGGGUAGCCGGCCUGAGAGGGUGACCGGCCACAUUGGGACUGAGAUACGGCCCGGACUCCUACGGGAGGCAGCAGUGGGGAAUAUUGCACAAUGGGCGGAAGCCGGAUGCAGCAACGCCGCAUGCGGAAUGACGGCCUUCGGGGUGUAAACCGCUUGCGCCUGUGACGAAGCGUGAGUGACGGUAAUGUGUAAAGAAGCACCGGCUAACUACGUG
rnacentral:rRNA from 1 species